rnacentral:rRNA from 1 species
CUCCAGACUCCUACGGGAGGCAGCAGUGGGGAAUAUUGCACAAUGGGGGAAACCCUGAUGCAGCGACGCCGCGUGAGUGAAGAAGUAUUUCGGUAUGUAAAGCUCUAUCAGCAGGGAAGAAAAUGACGGUACCUGACUAAGAAGCCCCGGCUAACUACGUGCCAGCAGCCGCGGUAAUACGUAGGGGGCAAGCGUUAUCCGGAUUUACUGGGUGUAAAGGGAGCGUAGACGGCUGUGCAAGCCAGAUGUGAAAGCCCGGGGCUCAACCCCGGGACUGCAUUUGGAACUGUGUAGCUGGAGUGUCGGAGAGGCAGGCGGAAUUCCUAGUGUAGCGGUGAAAUGCGUAGAUAUUAGGAGGAACACCAGUGGCGAAGGCGGCCUGCUGGACGAUGACUGACGUUGAGGCUCGAAAGCGUGGGGAGCAAACAGGAUUAGAUACCCCAGUAGC